rnacentral:lncRNA from 1 species
GAACAAGCAUGUGCUUAGUACAGAAAGGAAAACCACCAAGGCACUAAGUCACUCAGAGACAAUUGAAAAUUAACAGGAUCUGUACAAACUGAACGUCAUAAAAAUUCCAAGUCCAGGCUCUGUCCUUCUGACGUAUUACACAAAGCAUGGGCACUGUCUGAGCAAACUCAGGGGAGACAGCUCAGCCAUAGCACUGGCCAGACAAACAGCAACAGAUGUUUGUUGAAUGAAUGGACACAUUAAUGAAUCCCAAUUGCCCUUCAAGUGCUCCAGAUACGGAGAAAGGAAACCGAUGGAUGACACAUCUAAUUUCAUCCCUACCAUCCACCCUGGACGGGGAAAUAGAUUCCCAUUUUACAGCUCCAGAGAACAACGCAGCCAUCCGCUUGUUCUUCUCUCCUCACCUCCACUGACUUCUAAACAGGCCCAGGUUUCAAACUACAGUUAUUAAUUACGGCACUGUGAUAAGCACCAGCUGAGGUUUCUGGGAUACAUCCUUUGUUCCUCCCAGAGCAGAACAGGUAUCUGUAAGGGACGGAUGAGCAGAGUCAGCUUGAACCCUCUGUGUUUACCAAGGUAAAUGAAAGCAAAAACUGACAAUGAUAACGGUGAUCCUCAGUCCUCUUCAGUCUCUCCAUGCCUCAUAACCAGAUGACUCUACAGUCCUCAGUUCCACAGUUCAGAAGGAAUUGGACAACCAGCUCCUGCGUUAAACUGAUCACUCUGAGAAGAGGUUCUAUGAGUUGCCUUUUCUUCAGGUGCAAGAACUUCACACUUAUUUUUAAUUAUAUGGUUUAAUUUUGUUUCCCAUCCUCUGGAUUCUUUCGUGAAAUAACGUGAGAGGACAUGGCUGUCCCCAAGUGCCUUCUCUAAUGAGAUCCACAGCUUCUAUAUCUCUCAUAAGAGAAGGAGCUGCUCAAGAAAACCUUGUGCACCUUGCUGACACUCCUGUACUCUUGUGUCUUAGUUAGUCCAAUCUAAUUUACAGUGUUCCCAAACAGAGCUUUCUUUCUUAAACAAACAAACAAACAAACAAACAAACAAACAAACAAACAAAAAAGCCGAGAUGAUUAAGAAGAAUAUAUGUG